GGGGGGGGUGUACUAUGGUCUAUAUCUUACGUGGGAGAGAUGGAUAACUCAAGUGGAGUUAGCAGUCGAUUCAGAGUUCAUGGUCGGUUUUCACACGAAUGGGAUCCUUGACAAUCAUCCCUUGUUCUUCCUAGUGGGAUUGUGUUAUAGCUUUCUUUCAAAGGACUGGCUUGCAGCUGUUUGAUUCUUGUCUCAAGGAUCUUCUUUCUGUUUUGAUGGAGGAUGCUAGAGAGGAUGCCAUCUCUGGAUGGAUUUGUUUGUAAUUUUAUGUUCUUUUUAAUAAAUAAGGGAGGUAGUGUCUCUCCUUUUCCCACCAAAAAAAAAAAAGUUUGAAGAAUAACUAAGUUUAUUAUUUUCACAUAAUCAUGUCGCUUUACCUCAA